GAUGAAGAACGCAGUGAAUCGCGAUAAGUAAUGUGAAUUGCAGAUUUUCCGUGAAUCAUCGAAUCUUUGAACGCACCUUGCGCUCCUUGGUAUUCCGAGGAGCAUGCCUGUUUGAGUGUCAUCGAAACCUCGGAUCGACGCUUCGACCCCGUCGAAGCUCGGUUCGGACUGUGGGAGUCUGCCGGCGAAGCGUGACUUCGUCGGCUCUCCUCAAAAGCAUUAGCUGUGGGUGGCGAGCCUGGCAUGGCACGGCCUGUUCGACGUCGUAGUGAUCGUCGGGGGCUGGAAGUGUAUGGCUCGACGUGACCCAUGCUUCUCGAGUCUUGCGAGCCCGUCCCUCUGUGGGACGGCCGCGCCCCAUCGAAGCUUGACCUCAAAUCAGGUAGGACUACCCGCCGAACUUAAGCAUAUCAAUAAGCGGAGGA
rnacentral:misc_RNA from 1 species